AUUCCGCGAGGGGCGGCCCUGUAAUGCGCUUCGGGGAAAUCCCAGCCCUGAGUCGGAUGGCAUCUAAGUUCUGUGCUCUGCACGGCUGCGGGAGGGUGAAGGUAGAGGUAUGCGGGUUACCAGUGGCGCUUGCUGCAAAAACUAGCGUGUACCCUGGGAACGACAGUAGGCCCUGGCUGCAGACUCCGGUGGUGGACUGCCUGCCGGCGAGGAAGACGCCGGAGAGCGGCAAAAUGUCGGGGUAUCGGAAAGCGUCUGCAGAGCCAAGCUUGCGUUCCAGCCUCUAGCCCAGCGGGCGGAGCCAGGGGUGGGGCCCGAAGCAGGGUGGGCCACUCAGGGACCAGGCCAAGCUGCGCGUCCGCGUCCGGGGCGGAACCCGAGUGUGGUCGCCAGGUCAGGACCCCUGCGAACCCGCGACCCCAUCGCCCAGAGAGGCCGGGUUCGGUGGAACCCCGGCCCCGGAGGCGGGGCCCGGGCGAGCCCGAGGAGGGAGGUGAGAAGACUCCUGACCGGAGGAAGCAGACGGCGUAGCUGCGUACGGUGGCCCCAGCCUGAGGCCCGAGGGGAACGAACCGAACUUCUGUGGGUGUGAGCGCGGAGCCCUGCCCGGGACAACGCUUAACUCUAGCGGACGGGCACGUAUGGAGGCCACACAGACCCAGUGCUGCCCCUGUGUAUCCUGGGCAAAUCACUCUGAACACCCGUUUCUCCGUCUGCGAAAUGGGUAAACUGUACCAAUUCACAGCCCGCUGUGAGGAUUUAAGUAACGACACAAGUAAGUCACCCGGGGUAGAGAUCUAAAACCUCCUGCCUGGGAGCCAAAUCCA